rnacentral:rRNA from 1 species
GACGUAGGGCGCGAGCGUUGUCCGGAUUUAUUGGGCGUAAAGAGCUAGUAGGCGGCUUGUCGCGUCGACCGUGAAAACUUGGGGCUCAACCCCAAGCCUGCGGUCGAUACGGGCAGGCUCGAGUUCGGUAGGGGAGACUGGAAUUCCUGGUGUAGCGGUGAAAUGCGUAGAUACCAGGAGGAACACCGGUGGCGAAGGCGGCUUCCUGGCCGAGUACUGACGCUGAGGCACGAAAGCGUGGGGAGCGAACGGG